rnacentral:rRNA from 1 species
UACGUAGGGGGCAAGCGUUAUCCGGAUUUACUGGGUGUAAAGGGAGCGCAGACGGAAUGACAAGUCAGAUGUGAAAGCACAGUACUUAACACUGUGACUGCAUUUGAAACUGCCGUUCUGGAGUACUGGAGAGGUAAGCGGAAUUCCUGGUGUAGUGGUGAAAUGCGUAGAUAUCAGGAAGAACACCGGUGGCGAAGGCGGCUUACUGGACAGAUACUGACGUUGAGGCUCGAAAGCGUGGGGAGCAAAC